rnacentral:rRNA from 1 species
UACAGAGGGUGCAAGCGUUAAUCGGAUUUACUGGGCGUAAAGGGCGCGUAGGCGGUUCGUACAGUCAGACGUGAAAUUCCUGGGCUCAACCUGGGGGCUGCGUUUGAUACGUGCGGGCUUGAGUCCGGAAGAGGGUCGUGGAAUUCCCAGUGUAGAGGUGAAAUUCGUAGAUAUUGGGAAGAACACCGGUGGCGAAGGCGGCGACCUGGUCCGGUACUGACGCUGAGGCGCGAAAGCGUGGGGAGCAAACAGG